UGGUGGAGUGAUUUGUCUGGUUAAUUCCGAUAACGAACGAGACUCUGUCCUGCUAACUAGGUUGUGUUUUCUCGGGUUGGUGUUUUGGUGUUCCUUCUCGGGGCGCCGGCCCAAUCCACUUGUGAACACAACACUCUUCUUAGAGGGACUGGCGGCUGUUAGCCGCACGAGAUAGAGCAAUAACA
rnacentral:rRNA from 1 species